rnacentral:rRNA from 1 species
GACAGAGGAGCCAAGCGUUGUCCGGACUGACUGGGCGUAAAGCGCACGCAGGCGGCGCUGCGCGUGGGGUGUGAAAGCUCUUGGCUUAACUGAGAGAGGCCAUCCCAUACGGCAGCGCUCGAGCGGUGCAGAGGUCCGCGGAAUUGCCGGUGUAGUGGUGAAAUGCGUAGAGAUCGGCAGGAACACCCAGGGGGAAACCAGCGGACUGGGCAUCGGCUGACGCUCAGGUGCGACAGCGUGGGGAGCGAACCGG